rnacentral:tRNA from 1 species
UCUCUGUUAGUAUAUCGGUUAGUACACGCGCCUGUCAUGCGUGGAUGUAUUUCCUACCAGGUCCGCGCGAAAGGGGGGUUCGACUCCCCGACAGAGAG